rnacentral:rRNA from 1 species
UACGUAGGGGGCUAGCGUUAUCCGGAAUUACUGGGCGUAAAGGGUGCGUAGGUGGUUUCUUAAGUCAGAGGUGAAAGGCUACGGCUCAACCGUAGUAAGCCUUUGAAACUGGGAAACUUGAGUGCAGGAGAGGAGAGUGGAAUUCCUAGUGUAGCGGUGAAAUGCGUAGAUAUUAGGAGGAACACCAGUUGCGAAGGCGGCUCUCUGGACUGUAACUGACACUGAGGCACGAAAGCGGUGGGGAGCAAACAGGAUUAGAUACCCGCGUAGUCCCUGAG